rnacentral:rRNA from 1 species
GACGAACGCUGGCGGCGUGCUUAACACAUGCAAGUCGAACGCUGAAGCUCAGCUUGCUGGGUGGAUGAGUGGCGAACGGGUGAGUAACACGUGAGUAACCUGCCCUCUUCUUUGGGAUAACGCCCGUAGACGGGUGCUAAUACUGGAUAUUCACUGAUUCUCGCAUGGGGGUUGGUGGAAAGGUUUUUUCUGGUGGGGGAUGGGCUCGCGGCCUAUCAGCUUGUUGGUGGGGUGAUGGCCUACCAAGGCUUUGACGGGUCGCCGGCCUGAGAGGGUGACCGGUCACAUUGGGACUGGGAUACGGCCCAGACUGCUACGGGAGGCAGCAGUGGGGAACAUUGCGCAAUGGGCGAACGCCUGAUGCAGCGACGACGCGUGAGGGUCGGCGGCCUUCGGGUUUUAAUCCUCUUUCGCUCAUGGUCAAGCCGCAGCUUUGGGUUGUGGUGAGGGUAGUGGGUAAAGAAGCGCCGGCUAACUACGUG